rnacentral:lncRNA from 1 species
AAGCGAUAAGUGCAUGAUAUAGAAAUAUGCAGUGCUAACCGGUAACAGGCAUGUAUUCAACAUGUAAAUAUGAUUUCUGCAGUAAUGAAUCAACUGAAUAAUAGAAGUAUUGCAACUACUAUAAACAUGAACGUAAACAUAAUCAUAAAAGUGUAAGUACUACUGUACACUACAACUGAUACUCAUUCAUUACUAUCAUUAACACUUUCACUUUCAUUUUCAUUCACU